rfam:Triticum aestivum genome assembly, contig: Triticum_aestivum_CS42_TGACv1_scaffold_000645_1AL
CUACUACUCCCUCCGUUCGGAAUUACUCGUCCAAGAAAUGAAUGUAUCUAGAUGUAUUUUAGUUGUAGAUACAUCAUUUUUGUGACAAGUAAUUCCGAACGGAGGGAGUACUUC